AUAUAGCUCAGCAGGUAGAGCACUUCCUUGGUAAGGAAGAGGUCACCGGUUCAAAUCCGGUUAUGG
rnacentral:tRNA from 2 species